GCGCCCAUAGCUCAACAACUGACAGAGCAACGGCCUUCUGCCGCGGGUUGCAGGUUCGAGUCCUGGGCGCGCCA
rnacentral:tRNA from 1 species